GCAUGCCUACAACAAAGCGUUAAUGCAUUGGAUCCCAUUAGAACUUCGUAGCUCAGGCGAGAGUAGUACUGGGAUGGGUGACCGCCCGGGAAGUCCUAGUGUUUUACAUGCC
rnacentral:rRNA from 1 species